UACAGAGGUCUCAAGCGUUGUUCGGAAUUACUGGGCGUAAAGGGUGCGUAGGCGGCACGGUAAGUCAGAGGUGAAAUCCCGGAGCUCAACUUCGGAAUUGCCUCCGAUACUGCCGUGCUUGAGGACUGGAGAGGAGUCUGGAAUUCACAGUGGAGCAGUGAAAUGCGUAGAUAUUGUGAGGAACACUAGUGGCGAAGGCGAGACUCUGGACAGUUCCUGACGCUGAGGCACGAAGGCCAGGGGAGCAAACGGG
rnacentral:rRNA from 1 species